AAUCAGCAAAGCUAAAAUUUUCGUCGUUAUAAAUUUCAAUCAGCAAAGCCAAAGGAUAUGUAUGUUAUCGCCGCUUCGAGAAAUGGGGAUUGGGUACUACCGCCUGCUCGAUCAGAUAGCUCUCAAGCGCUUUUGAUUGCUCUUACUGAACUCUCUGCUCCCCUGGAUAGUAAAGGCCGGGAUUCCUACCUUUGGCGUAACGCUGCAGGAUUAUAUCGCCCUGUUUCUCUGCCAAAGAGACAUGGGAGCAGCUAAGGAUUCAUUAUCCGGUCGUCCCUUGGGCUAAGGCUGUGUGGUUCAAAGAGCAUGUGCCAAGAUAUUCCUGCAUGGAUUCUCAAUCUCCGUCAACCGCAUGUCGCCAAGGCAAUCACCAUCAUCAAGCUUCUGUUUCAGACCGUGGUUUAUCACAUCUGGAAGGAACGAAAUGCCAGGAUCUUCUCAUCUGCCGAAUGCUCCGCCACAUAUCUCCGCCUCUCCAUUGAUCGUACGUUGCGAAGUCGCCUCCUCUCAUUUCCUGGGACUGUCUCGCAGCCAACCUCUCUCCUGGAAGUUUACUUUAGUCGUCUCUCUUAUCUCCUUUAGUAAAAUUUUAUGUUAGUUUUUCUCUUUGUUCUUGUGGUAAUGGGUUAUUUUUGUAAUCGGUAUCUAAAUAUGUAAACUCUAAUUUGAAAUGGAA